CCCAAGUCCAGACAAGCCCAGCUGACCCAUCAGUGGUGUGUGCAGGCAGACCAAGUCCUGCAGCCAGAGGCUCAUAAGGGGCUGAUUGCACUUGGCAUUGCAUUUGCCUUCAGCUGCUUUCCAAAUUAAAUUUAACUUUUUAGGGAUCAGCCGGAUGAAGCUGCUUACUGCAGCUGUGAGGCCUGUCCCUCCAUGAAGAACAGCAAAGCUCCUUGGCAGGCUCCAGCUGCCCGGGCUGUGCUUGCUCAGCUCCUCUGCUGCCCCAAACCUCUUGCUGCCUGCACUUCAGCCAUGCUUCUCCUCAAGGAUCUCAAAACACCCCCCUGGUGCUGGCACUCUGACCAGGGCCUGACAGUUUGUUUCUCUGCCCCUGGGGAGCCCAGAGCCAGUGCGUGCUGUGCCAAGGCCCGGAGCCGGGAGCGCUCCCUGCCAGGCCGUUCCCUCUGUGCGGCCGCCCGGCCUUGGGACCAGCUGUGGCUCCCUGUGCAAAGGAGGGAUCCUCCACACAGCCCCACUCUGUUUUCUGCCACUGCUUCAGGGUUUUGCUACACUUUAGCUUAGCAUCCUGCAUCCGCCAAGACCCUCCGCUGCUUCUGCCACCGCUUUGGGUUAGUGCUACCUUUCCAUUUGCUGCCCCUGGGGUCUGCUCGUCUCUGGUCUUCCAGCCCGAUGCUCCAAAGCUACUGCUACAGUCCAGCUCGCCACCUGGAGUGGCACUGAGACCCGCUGCUCUCUGUGAGCUUUGCAAACUCAGAGGAGGAGCCGCCUCCUCUCUUUCCCUUUCUGCCGCCUGAGCCGCCAUGGCCGUGUGGAGAGGCGGCCGAGCUGGCGCCACAGCGCCCCCUGCAGGCGCGGGGGAAUCAUCGCACCCGCCCUGCCCGGCCGGGAGCCACCAGCGCCCCUGCUGGCCGGGCCCGGCACUGCCCUGGAGGGGAAAGGGCCCGAGGGCCCCGAGAUGUUGGAAUUAAAUCCCAAUAUUGCCAGAUGGAAUGUGCCUGGGCUCGUGUGAGAGUUUAUCCGAAAAUCUUUCAUUUUUGCCUCACAAUUGUAAUGAAGAAAAAAGACCACUGAAAGGUUAAAAAGUGUUGAGCCAGUUGGGAAAUAAAGUCUUAGGCUUAUCCA
rnacentral:lncRNA from 1 species